rnacentral:tRNA from 1 species
GGAUCUUUAGCUCAGUUGGUUAGAGCAGACGGCUCAUAACCGUCCGGUCGUAGGUUCGAGUCCUACAAGAUCCA